CGAACGCUGGCGGCAGGCUUAAUACAUGCAAGUCGAACGGUUAAAGCUCCUUCGGGAGUGUAUAAAGUGGCGAACGGGUGAGUAACAGGUGGAUAACCUGCCUUUUGGUAGAGGAUAACGGCUGGAAACGGCCGCUAAUACUGUAUGUGAUUUUCCGGUCCCCGGACUGGUUAAGGAAAGGCGCUUCGGCGCCGCCAAAAGAUGGAUCCGCCCCCCAUUAGCUAGUUGGUAAGGUAACGGCUUACCAAGGCUUCGAUGGGUAGCCGAGCUGAGAGGUUGAUCGGCCACACUGGAACUGAGAUACGGUCCAGACACCUACGGGUGGCAGCAGUAGGGAAUAUUGCGCAAUGGGCGAAAGCCUGACGCAGCCAUGCCGCGUGAGUGAUGAAGGCCUUCGGGUCGUAAAGCUCUUUUCUGAGGGAAGAAACGUUCAGGGAGGUAAUGCCCUGGAUCUGACGGUACCUUAGGAAUAAGGGACGGCUAACUCC
rnacentral:rRNA from 1 species